CCACCAACCAUGUUGCUCUUGCAGUUCUUAUAACUCUCGGGGAUCGUGAAUGGAGACAUGCCAGCUGCAACGCAAAGGCAGGACAAGAUGAAAGUCUUGUCCCCUACCAUGCUCUGAGGCAGGAGACCUCUGGUGUGAAUGGUGAAGAGUACAAGGAGAAGUAGCUGUGCCUUUCAGGUUUGGGUUGAGGAGAGAGGAAAGUCCUCUCCAAGCAGCUGGACUCCCUGCAAGGAACAAGCACUGUGGCUGAAGUUUUUUCACCUGGCGGAGCUUCAGAUGAAGAAAGCAGGGAGCAGGAGACACUUGUGGAAUUGCUUCACACUCAGCAUAUUGCAGCAGAUUGAUCUUCAUCAAGAUCAUGACGUGAUGUCCUGUAUCUGGAGAUCUAAACCGUGCUGGCCCCUCCUCUGAGUUUGGGGUAUUGUAAAUUCAUGCUCCAUUUGCUCUUUUCCAUGCUGCUGCUCUGUGUUUCUAUAUUUCUAGAUUAUUUCUCUUCCAAGAGAUUAGCUGAUCAUUUUCCAGGGUGCUUUUUUUAAUUUCCCCAAGGGCUCUGAAUUAUUUCUUGCUAUCCUUGCCAGUGAUGUAUGCAGCAGUUCUCAUUGUGC
rnacentral:lncRNA from 1 species